CAGCAGCCGCGGUAAGACAGAGGUCCCGAGCGUUGUUCGGAUUCAUUGGGCGUAAAGGGUGUGUAGGAGGCCAGGUAAGUCAGGUGUGAAAUCUCAGAGCUUAACUCUGAAACUGCGCUUGAUACUGCUUGGCUAGAGGAUCGGAGGGGGUAACGGAAUUUAUGGUGUAGCAGUGAAAUGCGUAGAUAUCAUAAGGAACACCGGUGGCGAAGGCGGUUACCUGGAAGAUUCCUGACUCUGAAACACGAAAGCCAGGCGAGCAAACGGGAUUAGAUACCCCCGUAGUCCCUGUCUCUUAUAA
rnacentral:rRNA from 1 species